rnacentral:lncRNA from 1 species
CAGGUUUCAACUCAGCAAUUGUUGCUACAUGUCCUGGCAGAACACCCAUCUGCCCAGUUGUUGCUGGUACAAUCACCAUGUCAACCUGUUGCACACAAAUUAUGUCACUUUUCAAGGAACAUCAUCAGUUAAGGAAUUUUCUCUUACUAAUAUCCAAAACUUGGAUUGGAUCAAACCAGUGAAUGUAAUACAUGGCAGAACAAGAAGAAAAAAAAAACAGAUAACCAUGGGUUAAAAGAAAUUCAGCUUGUAAUAGAUGAUAAGUUAAAAGAAAUUCAGCUUCUGCCAUGGGUUAAAAUCAACUUAUCACCUCAGGUUUAGGAGAAAGUGUCCACAAAAUUGAUUUGCUUCAUCUUCAUGAUGAGAAUUACAACAAGGAUAAGAAAUUGAGAAUGGCAUAUGAAUUAACCUAUAGUCUGAUCUGAAACGAGCAAACAAGCCCUUGGUGGACGAGAUUGGAAAAUUACAGCUAACACCAAAAAUUCUGAUUUCUCUGUUUAUUUGAUCCUUUUUCUUUCCGGACAGUCAAUAUGCCAUUGUAGGCCCACUUUUCAUGUCUACUAAAUGCAAUCACAUAUAGAACAAACUAAUAACAUUGUCUCAUGCAGCUAUAUUCCACUGCAUUUAACAACUUACAUCAAUUUAAUUAGAAGAGUCACACCCAGUUUAAUCUGACAACUUAAAAUUUACUUUUGAGACUACUGGGGUGCUUUGAAAUGUAGCCUGCUUAGAAUUUAUUCCUUGCAAUAAAGACCCGAGGAAGUAAUUUAUAAUAUAAUAAAAUUAUUAGACAUCAGUAUCUCAUUCAAUUAGAAGCCUCAUUAUGUUCCAUGAAAUCAAUUGUUUGGUUUUCUCUCUAUUGGUUCUUGUAGCACAUUAAUGUAUAGAGAUCGAUUACCCAAAGUCAAUCAAUGGUAGGGAUGGCCAAAUCCAAUCACCAAGUUUUCCUGCAUUUUACCAUUUUACACCUGGCUCAUCAUGUCAAAAGCCAAAAGUGCCAAGACACAAAUCUUGUUUUCUUUAGUUAUGCAAUAGGUUAUCAGCAAACAUACAUAACUAU